GAACCAGUACCGUGAGGGAAAGGUGAAAAGCACCCCGGAAGGGGAGUGAAAGAGAUCCUGAAACCGUGUGCCUACAAAUAGUCAGAGCCCGUUAAUGGGUGAUGGCGUGCCUUUUGUAGAAUGAACCGGCGAGUUACGAUCCCGUGCGAGGUUAAGCUGAAGAGGCGGAGCCGCAGCGAAAGCGAGUCUGAAUAGGGCGUUUAGUACGUGGUCGUAGACCCGAAACCAGGUGAUCUACCCAUGUCCAGGGUGAAGUUCAGGUAACACUGAAUGGAGGCCCGAACCCACGCACGUUGAAAAGUGCGGGGAUGAGGUGUGGGUAGCGGAGAAAUUCCAAUCGAACCUGGAGAUAGCUGGUUCUCCCCGAAAUAGCUUUAGGGCUAGCCUUAAGUGUAAGAGUCUUGGAGGUAGAGCACUGAUUGAACUAGGGGUCCUCAUCGGAUUACCGAAUUCAGUCAAACUCCGAAUGCCAAUGACUUAUCCUUAGGAGUCAGACUGCGAGUGAU
rnacentral:rRNA from 1 species